rnacentral:rRNA from 1 species
GGGCCCCGCCACAAGCCGGAGGGAACAUGUUGGUUUAAUUCGAUGAUACGCGAAGGAAACUUUACCUUGGCUUAAAUGCAGAGCGACAUUCGCCGAAAGGUGGAUUCCUUCGGGCGAUCUGCAAGGUGCUGCAUGGCUGUCGUCAGCUCGUGCCGUGAGGUGUCGGGUUAAGUCCCAUAACGAGCGCAACCCUUAUCGUUAGUUGCCAGCGGGUAAUGCCGGGGACUCUAACGAAACUGCCGGUGUAAACCGUGAGGAAGGUGGGGAUGACGUCAAGUCAGCACGGCCCUUAUGUCCAGGGCUACACACGUGUUACAAUGGCCGGUACAAAGGGCAGCUACCACGCGAGUGGAUGCUAAUCUCCAAAACCGGUCUUAGUUCGGAUUGAAGUCUGCAACUCGACUUCAUGAAGCUGGAUUCGCUAGUAAUCGCGCAUCAGCCAUGGCGCGGUGAAUACGUUCCCGGGCCUUGUACACACCGCCCGUCAAGCCAUGGAAGCUUGGGGUACCUGAAGUCCGUAACCGCAAGGAUCGGCCUAGGGUAAGACAAGUGACUGGGGCUAAGUCGUAACAAGGUAACCAAGGGCGAA